rnacentral:misc_RNA from 1 species
UAUCUAUGUUAUUCCCCCUUCGGGCUCUCCAGUCGCCGCGUCGAAAUCCCCCGCCGCCGCAAGUCCCAGAGCCAAUUGUGUUUGUGUUUGUAGUUUGAUUCAUAAAAUUGUUCAUUCCGUUCUCUGUCGAUGUCGAUGUCUGUCUGUAUACACACGGGAGUCUGCUCUCAACGCGAUGAGUUUUUAUGCUAGGGCCUUAUUCCGCUAGUAAGUGUCAGAUAUCAAACAGGUAUGCGGACCGAGCUCUCCUCCACGUAUACACAAAUUAAAUCCAAUUAGUAUUCAAAACUAAUUUUCUACUCUCGCUCGUCGUGUGCAGGUGAACCUCGAGAGUUAUGCGAAAAGAAGUGGUGUAGUGCCUUAAGCCAUCGUCGGAUCGGGUGUGGACCUUGCAUCCUGUGUCCAAUUACCUGUCCAAUUUCUGUGCGUCAACGUAAGAGCGAAAGAAAAGCUAUCGCGGGAGAUCAGUGUGUGCAUUCAGUUGUAACGAAGUUGUGUGAUGAGUUCGGGCACGGAUGAAAUUGACCGCAGUGUCGCGGUGUCUAAUGGUGACCAGCAGCAAAACAAUGCAACGACGGCCACCAUCCAGGAGACCUCGCUGUCCCAAAGUGGGUCGACGACAGAUAGCGAUGGCCCGAAAACGACCAAUUGGGUGAAGUUCGAUGAUGACGACGGCAAGAAGGCACAAGGCGACAAGGCGGCAUCCGCCCCACCCAACGACAUCACGCCCGCUGCCGUCCUCCCAACCGAGUCUGUCCACGUGACGAUAGACGCGCGCCUACCGACAAGUCCCAAACAAGUCGCUCCGGUGAUCUCCUCGCAGCCUGCGCCGGCCACUGCCUCCCAGGGCCAGAGCCUCCCACCACCGCUAACCAACAAGACGUCCCAACCGGCCGUGAUCGACAUUCCGAAGCAAACGACGGUCAACGUGGUCCAGCCGAUCCAGUCGAUGCGCACGAUCGAACUCUCGACGGGGCGGGUUCGCGAGGGUUUCGCCAACGGCGAUGUGAUCGUGACGCUGCUGCCGACCAACACUCGCUGGCCCUGGGUGACGCCGGCGGUGUUCCGUCCGGAGCUGGUUCCCGAGGAGUUGAUGGCGCAAGGGUUGACGCUCACGGUUGAGGAAUACGUCCACGCAAUGGAGACUCUGGUGAAUGAUUACCGGUUCACGAUGUACAACAUUUGCUACAAGCGAGUUUUGGUGGUUUGGAUCUUGUUUGCAUUUGUCGUCCUGUUGGGGCUGCUGUUCUCGGGUCUGUACGGAAUAACGCUGUUUUCGCUGGGCGUCGGAUGGCUCUUCUUGAACGCGGCGGCCAUUUUCCUGUGCAUGUGGGUUAAGUUGCGUCUGGCCCGAGGGCUGGAGCGUUGCAUGGCCCGGGUCAACAAACAGUUGAUUCGUCACAAAAUUUUGCUGGCGUUGGAUGACCGAGGGCACAUCUCCUGCCACAAGGUCAACCUUUGCUUCAUGUACUUUGAGCCGUCGCAAUGCAUCAGCUAUCUGAACGAGUUUAUCGAACGAAGCGAACAGAACGGAAAUACGAUCGAACCUGGCUGGGAGAGUCGUCUGGACGUGGCUACGAACGAUAUCGUGAUUCAGGGAGCAAACACUACUCGACUGUCGAGGAAGCAGGAACGAGGACUGCUCCUGUUGUUGCGCUACGCGUCCCGCUGGGGCAAUGAGUCGAUGCGAGGGCUGAUCGAUGUGACAUCCGUUGAGCCGGCCCGCCACUGUCGACAGUUUCAGUGCCCUUGCCAGUACAUCGAGUACCACCUCAAGUGUAAACCGCAAGGCUACCCGUGCAGUUGUUGUGCAACCUUAACUGAUCCACAUUUUCAAUACGCAUACUGACACGCUUAUUGGAGCGGCGCGCAUCAAUCAAUCUUCUCUCAGUGUAUGAUAACAUCCACGACAUUGUGAAUUUGUUUUUAAAAUGCAAGUAGUUAGGUUCGAUUAUUGUUGCAUCGUACACAUGAAUUCGUAUCAAAGAUAUUAAAUAACUGUACCUACUAAUCUCAAAGGUGAACGGAACGAGCAUUUGUUGGCUACCCGUGUAAAUGGCUUGCCCCAAUCUCGGGGCAAGUUUACCCCUUAAACUAGCAAUAAAACACUAAAGACCACAAGACGUAAUGUUCAGGAACAAUAAAUACAUAUAUAUUUACAAAGAGUGUUACAAUGUUACCAUUUUACCAUAAACAAUAACAUCGUGAGCGUAGAUAAUAAAAUUAAAUAAGAAAAAUAAACAAUGUUCAUAAA